rnacentral:rRNA from 1 species
UGGGGAAUAUUGCACAAUGGAGGGAACUCUGAUGCAGCAACGCCGCGUGCGGGAUGAUGGCCUUCGGGUUGUAAACCGCUUUCAGCCAUGACGAAGCUUUUGUGACGGUAGUGGUAGAAGAAGCACCGGCUAACUACGUGCCAGCAGCCGCGGUGAUACGUAGGGUGCGAGCGUUGUCCGGAAUUAUUGGGCGUAAAGAGCUUGUAGGCGGUUUGUCGCGUCGAUAGUGUAAACACGCAGCUUAACUGUGUGCCUGCUGUCGAUACGGGCUGACUAGAGGAGGGUAGGGGAGAAUGGAAUUCCCGGUGGAGCGGUGGAAUGCGCAGAUAUCGGGAGGAACACCAGUGGCGAAGGCGGUUCUCUGGACCUUUCCUGACGCUGAGAAGCGAAAGCGUGGGUAGCAAACAGG